rnacentral:rRNA from 1 species
CAGUAGCCGCGGUAAAACGGAGGGUACAAGCGUUAAUCGGAAUUACUGGGCGUAAAGCGUUCGUAGGCGGUUCGUUAAGUCCGUUGUGAAAGCCCUGGGCUCAACCUGGGAAUUGCAGUGGAUACUGGGUCACUAGAGUGUGGUAGAGGAUAGUGGAAUUUCCGGUGUAGCAGUGAAAUGCGUAGAGAUCGGAAGGAACAUCUGUGGCGAAGGCGACUAUCUGGACAAAGACUGACGCUCAGGUGCGAAAGCGUGGGGAGCAAACAGGAUUAGAUACCCGUGUAGUCCCUGUCUCUUAUAC